UGCUCCUACGGGACGCAGCAGUGAGGAAUAUUGGUCAAUGGACGCAAGUCUGAACCAGCCAUGCCGCGUGCAGGAAGACGGCUCUAUGAGUUGUAAACUGCUUUUGUACGAGGGUAAACGCAGAUACGUGUAUCUGUCUGAAAGUAUCGUACGAAUAAGGAUCGGCUAACUCCGUGCCAGCAGCCGCGGUAAUACGGAGGAUGCGAGCGUUAUCCGGAUUUAUUGGGUUUAAAGGUUGCGUAGGCGGAAUGCCAAGUCAGCGGUAAAAUCG
rnacentral:rRNA from 1 species